rnacentral:rRNA from 1 species
CCUACGGGAGGCUGCAGUGAGGAAUAUUGGUCAAUGGCCGGAAGGCUGAACCAGCCAUGCCGCGUGAAGGUCAGUGCCCUAUGGGCGUUAAACUUCUUUUGUGCGGGAGCAAUAAUGGUCACGUGUGGCCAGACGAGAGUACCGUACGAAUAAGCAUCGGCUAACUCCGUGCCAGCAGCCGCGGUAAUACUGGGGAUGCAAGCGUUAUCCGGAUUUAUUGGGUUUAAAGGGUGCGUUGGCUGGGAGGUAAGUCAGCGGUGAAAUGCCCCCGCUCAACGGGGUGAAGUGCCAUUGAUACUGCCUGGCUGGAAUGCGGAUGCCGUGGGAGGAAUGUGUGGUGUAGCGGUGAAAUGCAUAGAUAUCACACAGAACACCGAUUGCGAAGGCAUCUCACGAAUCCGCGAUUGACGCUGAUGCACGAAAGCGUGGGUAUCAAACAGGAUUAGAUACCCGUGUAGUC